GCUCCGCUCCGGGUUUUCCCGGCGACCUGCAUCCAGAGAGGGUCGACUGACCUGCGGGCCGGCUGCUGGCGGUCUGCUUACUCCGGCAAAGACGGGGGCGCAUCGGGCCGUUUGAGGAAGGCAGACUGUGAAAGGACUUGGGACAAAGAUGAGGCGGAGUAGAGGCGGCCUGAGCAGAGCAGAACAACUUUGAUAUUUAGUUUUAUUUAACUCGCACUCCUCUCCUUGCUCCCCUUCCCCAAAACAACUUUCUCUUCCGGGGUCACACAGGACCGCCCCAAAGCGUACCUUGCGCGCCGGGGGCGCCAGGCGCUACUGGAUUCGGUGUAGUUUUGAGGUGUUUGCACCACCCUCGCUGCUGCUUUCGUGGCUGCCCGUGUGCCCGCUGCUCACGGCUGCCCCAGAAGUGUGAGCUGGCCGCGCCCGGCCCUCUGGUCCUCGGGCACCGCCUGCAGGCUUUGUAACUUGGGAGCACAUCUCUGGUGAUCAUGGUUUAUGCAGUGAGUGAUAGUAAAUCCUCCUCCCUGUACCAGCAAAGGCAUAGGAGUCUGAGAGUCUGCGAGAUUCUCAUAGAUGUGGUUGCACCUGGCAAGGAGCCCAGCUGCAGAAAUAAGCAGGCAAACGCGAGUUUCUGAGCCAGUUCCAGCCCGGCCCAGAUGUUGGCCCCUGACAACUAGCUGUGGCUGGUGCGGAGGGAGGAGCGAGGGAAGAGGGGCAGAUCGAGGCUGCCAGGUGAGCAUCCUCCAUACAGCUCCUGCUUUUCUGCUACAACCCCAGUCCCGUCCAGCCCGGAUGACCGGGGAGGCUCACUAUUGGGUUAUAACAACCAUUCCCUCGCCCCGACUCAUUCCUGCGGACCACGGCCGGAAUCCUGAACUGCCCCUCUUUGCCUGUAACUGUUUGCAACACAGUCCCCAUCUCCGAAUAACCAAAUUUUCUCCUUUAAUGAAGGGUUGCUAAAGUCAAGGUCAAUCACAAUGAUGAAUCAUUUCCUUGGGGGCUUCUCUGAUUCCCCACCCGGCCGCCCCUUCGUUCCACACUUUCCCUUUCAAGCAUACUCAAACUCCAGGUUUCCACCUGCGGCCGCUGCCACGCUGGCUCUCCCACACUCACUCCCGCCCUCCAGCUGCUAUAGCUAAAAUCUGGAGCCACGGAGUUCACUUUUCUAUAGAAGACAAAGCUGAGCAUGCUCAGUGGCCAAGGCAAAGUUUGGUCGGAAACUAGUUUUUGCAUUAGACUCUCCAUGGGCUCCAUAGACUCUCCUGUACCUUACGACUAGGCACAGGAGCGUUUCCCCGGUGAAAUGGAGAAGAGGACACUUGGUCUUUUCAACUUUACUAGGAGGGCUCCUUUCUUCCCAGUCCGUAAGGAGGGGUCUGACUUUCAUUUCCACCCCAGCAUUAUCACCUUAACUCUCAUUCCAGUCAAUCCCGAAACUCCGUUGCCCUACCCACUUCACCCUUCUUUUGUUUGUCCUGAUUUGAUUCCUGCGUUCUCACAGAGGGCUACCUGGACUUUGAACCUCCACCCCCCUUUCUACAUUCUUGCAUUCCAGAAACAUAUGAAGCUCAUUUCUGCCACCCUUCCUAGAAAACUGGUUCCUGACAGAGACAUGUGGAAAGUAUCUGCACCCAAGGACCCACACCCAAGGAGCAGUACCAGAGGGAACACAUCUGAAGAGCCCUAUCUGGAUUUGCCAACAUGAUUUAGAUGAUAAGAUACUGGACUUUGAGCUGGUGCCAUAAUGGGAUGAGGCUUUGGGAGUCCAAAGGGAGAUAAGUGUAAGUGUAUUUCACCGGUGAAGAAUGUAAAACAUAAAAGGCCAGAACAUGAACUCUGCAGCUAAUCUCCAAAGAUGGCUCUCAGUGAACCACACCUCAUGGAAUUCAUGUCCUUGCAUAGUCCCCUCCCGCACUGAAUCUGGGUUAACUUUGUGACUUUCUCUAACUAUCAGAAUGUGACAGAAGUAACAAUAUGAUACAUCCCUCCAUUUAGUGAGAUCAUCUUUAAUUUCUCCCAAUAAUGUUUUGUAGUUUUCUGUGUAGAGGUCUUACAAAUUUUUUAGAUUGAUUCUUUGACAUGUGACUUUUCUAUGCUGUUGAUAAAUGAUAUUUUGUUAAAAUUUUUAUUUUCUAAUUGCUUGUUACUAGCAUAUAGAAACUUAAUUACAUAUAGAAACUAAGUACAGGACUUUGUUUAUUGACUAUGUAUUCAGUGGCCUUGGUUAAUUCCUCUUUUAAUUGUAAUAGUUUUUCUGUAGUUCUUUUGGAUUUUUCUAUGUGUAUAAUUAUAUAUGAAUAAUGACAGAUUCAUUUCUUAAUUUCCAGUCCUCUAAUAGGGUUUCUUUAUUUCUUUUUCUAACUUUGAUGCACUAGCUAGAACCUACAAAAUAAUGUGGAAAAAAAGCAACCAUCCUUGCCUCAUUCCUGAUUUUAGAGGAAAAGCUCUUAAUAUUAACUAUGAUGUUUUUAAUGGGGUUUAUUUAGAGAUCUUUGUGAAGGCAAGAGUUUUUUUAAUAAAUGAAUCUUGAGUUUUAUAAAAAAUUUUUACUGCAUCUAUCAAGAUGGUCAUAUGAUUUUUAAAUUCUGUUACUGCAGUAAAUUAUAUUGAUUUUUUAAUCUAAAAACAAUCUUACAUAUCUGAAAUAAACCCACUUUGGUCAUGAUGCAUUAUUCUUUUUGUGUAACACUGGAUUUGAUUCUUUUAUUUAUUUAUUUUAGAGUUUUUGCUUAUAUGUUCACAAGAGACAGUGACUUGUUAUUUUUUUCUUGUAUGUUCUUGUCAGGUUUGAGAAUCAAGGAUAUGUUGGUCUUACAAAAUUAUUUGGGAAGUACUUGUUCUUUUUUAACUUUCUGGAAAAGUUUUUAUAAAUUUGAUAUGAUUACUUCUUUAAAUAUUUGGUAAACUUCACUAGGGAAGCAUCUAGGAUGGGAAAAUUUUUAGUUAUGGACUCAAUUUCUUUAAUAGAUAUAAAACUAUUCAAAUCCUUCUAUUUCCAACACUCUGAUUUUGGCACAUUGAGAUUCUCUAUGAAUUUGUCUAUUUUAUCUAAAUUUUCAAAAUUACUGACAUAAAAGUCACAUAGACCUCUUAGGAUUUUUUUAAAUGAGUUUUCAUUCUUGAAAUUAUUUAUUUGCACAUUCUCACUCUCUCUUCUUGAUCAAACUGGCCAGAUGUUUGUCAAUUUAAGGCUCUUAAAAAAAAAGAUACAACCUUUGGAUUUGUUAAACCUCAUUAUACAUGUAUUUGUAUUUUUUCCAUUGGUUUCUAGUUUGUUGUUUAUAAUUUACCUAAUUUACUUUUUUUGAGUUAAAAUUUGCUUUUCUUUUUCAAACUUCUUGAAAUGGAUACUUACAUGAUUCUAUUUCCCUAAUGCUUUAUUUAAGCCUAUAAAUUUCCCUUGAAUCAUAGACUCGGAUUCAGCCCACCCAUUUUGAUAUGUUACAUUUUUAAUAUAUUAAAUAUAAAAUGUCUUCUCAUUCCUAUUGUGAUUUUGGUUUGACCUAUUGAAUCAUUUAGUAGUACAUUAUUAACUUCUAAAACUGGGAGGUUUUAGUAUGGCAUUUUUGUUAUUUAUUGCUCGUUUAAUUAUAUGUGGUCAGAAAGCAUAUUCCAUAUUAUUUCAGUUUCUUAAUCUUUGUUAAGGCUUCCUUUAUGGUCAAGCAUAUGGUCAAAUUUUUAAAUAAAAUUCUAUA
ensembl:lncRNA novel transcript